rnacentral:pre_miRNA from 1 species
UAUGUACUCCCUCCGUUCGGAAUUACUCGUCCAAGAAAUGAAUGUAUCUAAAUAUAUUUUAGUUGUAGAUACAUCCAUUUUUGUGACAAGUAAUUCGGAAUGGAGAGAGUAGUAC